GAUGAAGAACGCAGCGAAAUGCGAUAAGUAAUGUGAAUUGCAGAAUUCAGUGAAUCAUCGAAUCUUUGAACGCACCUUGCGCUCCUUGGUAUUCCGAGGAGCAUGCCUGUUUGAGUGUCAUGAAUCUCUCAAACUCUUAGUUUCAUUACUGAGUGUUUGGAUUUGGAGGUCUAUGCUGGCGCAAGUCAGCUCCUCUUAAAUACAUUAGCUUGGGUCUUGCAUGUCUGGAUCCUUGGUGUGAUAAUUAUCUACGCCAUGAUGUCCCUUCAAGCCCUGCUUCUAAUCGUCUGAAUAAGACAAUUUAUUACUUGACAUCUGACCUCGAAUCAGGUAGGACUACCCGCUGAACUUAAGCAUAUCAAUAAGCGGAGGA
rnacentral:misc_RNA from 1 species